rnacentral:rRNA from 1 species
GGAUAACCUACCCUUAGGACCGGGAUAACCCUGGGAAACUGGGGAUAAUACUGGAUAGGCAAUUUUUCCUGUAAUGGUUUUUUGUUUAAAUGUUUUUUCGCCUAAGGAUGGGUCUGCGGCCGAUUAGGUAGUUGGUUAGGUAAUGGCUUACCAAGCCGUUGAUCGGUACGGGUUGUGAGAGCAAGAGCCCGGAGAUGGAACCUGAGACAAGGUUCCAGGCCCUACGGGGUGCAGCAGGCGCGAAACCUCCGCAAUGUGAGAAAUCGCGACGGGGGGAUCCCAAGUGCCAUUCUUAACGGGAUGGCUUUUCAUUAGUGUAAAGAGCUUUUGGAAUAAGGGCUGGGCAAGACCGGUGCCAGCCGCCGCGGUAACACCGGCAGCUCUAGUGGUAGCAGUUUUUAUUGGGCCUAAAGCGUCCGUAGCCGGUUUAAUAAGUCUCUGGUGAAAUCCUGUAGCUUAACUGUGGGAAUUGCUGGAGAUACUAUUAGACUUGAGACCGGGAGAGGUUAGAGGUACUCCCAGGGUAGAGGUGAAAUUCUGUAAUCCUGGGAGGACCGCCUGUUGCGAAGGCGUCUAACUGGAACGGUUCUGACGGUGAGGGACGAAAGUUAGGGGCGCGAACCGGAUUAGAUACCCGGGUAGUCCUAACUGUAAACGAUGCGGACUUGGUGUUGGGGUGGCUUUGAGCUGCUCCAGUGCCGAAAGGGAAGCUGUUAAGUCCGCCGCCUGGGAAGUACGGUCGCAAGACUGAAACUUAA